AAGUAGUUCAGAUAGGCUAAUGUUGUUUUCAUUGAUGACUUCACUAUGUCCUAUUCAUGUUGCAUUUGUGGUUUGUCUCUUGAGUCAUUGAAGGCGUAUGUUUUGCAUUGCCAACUGCAUCGCAAUGAACCCCGCACAGUUUUCAAAUGUGUUGAAGUUGGUUGUAAGUGUGUGUUUGCCAAGUAUGUUUCCUUAAAGGCUCACUACUAUCGCCAUCAUACUGGCAAAUCAGUGUCUUCACAAGGCUUCACUAUGGAAUCCUUGAAAUGCACAGUUUCACUUUGUGAGUGCCAGUGUAAUGGCGUGAAAGGGUUGGUUGCACAUCUAAAGGAGCACAUAGAUGGGGGAUGUCCAGUGAACUGCCCAGUGGCAGGAUGUAAAAUGGUGUUCACUGUAAAAUCUACCUUCACUGCCCAUAUGUCUAGAAGGCACAGGGACUGCCCUGUCAAUGUCAUCAACAGCUCAUGUGGUAGCGGUAGGUCAACACAUUUUGUUGACUCGUGUCCCUCCACAAGCACCACUGUAACUACAGAGCGACCAGGUUGUCUCUCGAAUAAUGAAGACACUUUAGAACACAGUGGUUUUGAGGAUCUGUAUCUCAGAAAUGUGUGUUUGUUGUACGCAAAGUUACAAGGGCAAUAUUUAGUUCCAACCUCUACUAUCCAGAUCAUAGUGGAAGAGAUGCAGAACAUUCAUGAGUUGGGGCAGACACAUACAUUGAGCAGGCUAAAUGUACUUCUGCAAACACUGGUAUCAGACGAAGUCAGAGGAAAAGUAUGUGAUGCUGUGAAGGAAUCAGACGUGUUCUCAGCUUGCCACACUGGCCCAAUGAGAACAGCCUUCUCUAGGACUAAGUGUUUUAGAGAAAUGUUUAACUUUGUGGAGCCCAAGCAACUGUUUUUGGGCAGAGAUGAAAACAGAGAGAAGCGAUUUGCCUACUAUGUUCCAAUCUUGGAGACACUGAAGAAUAUGCUCACAUCAGGGUUUUGGAAGGGACUGAUGUCAGAAAAUCCUCCAGAAAAUUCUCCAGACAUUCUCAGUGAUUGCUGUGAUGGCAAGGUGUUUAAAUCGAACACUUUCUUUCAGGAUUUUCCAGCUUGCCUUAAGUUGAUUUUGUGCCAAGAUGCCUUUGAGGUUGUGAACCCCUUGGGUUCAGCUAAAAGGAGACACAAACUUCUGGCUGUGUAUUUCUCCCUACUAAAUUUGCCCCCCCAUAUGCGAUCAACCGUCGACCACAUGCAGCUGGUGCUACUCUGUAGAGAAAAGGAUUUUACAGAAUUUGGCCAUGCCAAAGUUUUCUCUGAGUUGGUGAAAAUGUUAGAGGAGAGUGGGAUAACAGCUGAUGAAUCUGUUUUUAAAGGAACUCUCUACUGCAUUGUUGGAGACAAUCUUGGCUCACAUUGCAUUGGAGGGUUCACUGAAAACUUAAGCUCAUCAGAACAUUUUUGCAGAUACUGUCUAAUUUCUCGUUCUGAAUUUCAGACUGACUUCCUGUGUCUUCCUGGCUUGCCUCCUUGUCUUGGACAUGAUGUCUUUGAGGGUGUCCUCUCCUAUGACGUGGCACUGUAUCUGAAGACAAGAGCGCACAGGAGGCCUCUAGGCCCACCAUGAUGGCCAGCACAGGUGAAGACCACUAAGGAGGAUUGAGUACCCUCUGCCUGUGAUGAUCAAGGGAAGACCCAGGCUAAAAAGCUGCUAUCUAAGGCCGAGCCACAACGUCCAACUCACCUCUGCAUUAUGGCCAAGAUACGAGGCUUGUCAGCUGACCCAUCAGUUCCUGUCCAAGCCUUCACCCUCGAUACGGAGAAGCCAGGCUACGCCCUGGAUGCAGAAGACGAGGCAUGAUGGAGCAGCUGCAGAAGUACAGGAGCUCAGGGCCAUGCAGUUUGAGGAGAUGAUCGAGAGGCUGCAGAAGGGCAGUGGACAGCAGCUCUGUGCUUGCACUGAUGCUCCUGAUUCACAAUGGAACCAGCAAAGGUUGAAGCAGCUGACCUUCUUCGUUCAACACUCCUUCAAGCCAGGUUGGAUUAUUGAUGUCCAGUACUGCCCCCUUUUUGACUUUGCAAGCUACAGAAAGGCAACACCUUUGACCCCUUUCAAUGGUUUGUGGACUUUGGGGCAUUUUCCAUACCGAAAGACUGUUGAAAUCUUUGGACUUCUGCCAAAUUUUCCAUGUAUAAGGUAAUACUAUUCAAUCAUUGUUUAAGGAGAACAAGAACAUUUGGUACAAAAUACUCAGAAUGGCAAACAAACAGCUUAUGUUAACUGAUGGGGGCACAGAGAACUGUAAGUUAUGGGAAUAAACAAUUUUAUGCCAAACAAG